ACAUCCAGCGAACUUGGCAGAGAUGCCUUGGUGCCUUCGGGAACGCUGAGACAGGUGCUGCAUGGCUGUCGUCAGCUCGUGUUGUGAAAUGUUGGGUUAAGUCCCGNAACGAGCGCAACCCUUAUCCUUUGUUGCCAGCGAUUCGGUCGGGAACUCAAAGGAGACUGCCGGUGAUAAACCGGAGGAAGGUGGGGAUGACGUCAAGUCAUCAUGGCCCUUACGAGUAGGGCUACACACGUGCUACAAUGGCGCAUACAAAGAGAAGCGACCUCGCGAGAGCAAGCGGACCUCAUAAAGUGCGUCGUAGUCCGGAUCGGAGUCUGCAACUCGACUCCGUGAAGUCGGAAUCGCUAGUAAUCGUGGAUCAGAAUGCCACGGUGAAUACGUUCCCGGGCCCUGUACACACCGCCCGUCACACCAUGGGAGUGGGUUGCAAAAGAAGUAGGUAGCUUAACCCUCGGGAGGGCGCUUACCACUUUGUGAUUCAUGACUGGGGUGAAGUCGUAACAAGGUAAGCGUAGCGAG
rnacentral:rRNA from 1 species